GGAAAAGGCCGAAAACGACCAGGAAGCAAAGAGUGACCUGGUGAAGAGGGCCGUGCGUUGUCCUAAUAUGCACCUGAACUCGUCUUCAUUCGGGCGUCGCUGUUUCUACUACGUCCCCAAACCCAUGAGCUGGGCUCGGGCGGAGAGAAACUGUAAGUCCAUGGGUGGUAGCCUUGCAUCAGUACACAGCCUC